GUCAAAUGGGAAUGGUAUGGUGCGCACCUGUAUGAGGGGUCAUGCGUGACACGUGGAUUGUGCUGUCAGGAGCUUGGGGGAGUAUGUGCCCCUGGAAAGCACUAGAGCCAUGCCAGCGUUCAGUGAGCUCUGUGAGGUGACAGGAAGCUCCCGAGGCCAGGCCUAGGGCUUCUGGUGCGUGGGCAGGGGAGCGGAGACAGCUUCCUCUUUUGAAAGGUUGGCAGGAGCGAAGUGGAGGCUGACGGAUGUAGGAGAAGAUCUCAUACAGGCUGGGGGGCAAGUGUGGGUGCCCUGAGGUGCCCAGGGAGGGAAGCGUAAGGCAGGGCAGACCCGGGAGGGCCACGAGUGCCAGGCGAGGAGCAUGGUGGCUUCCGGCCUGAGGGUGAUACGGCCAUGAGGGGUUUAAUGGGUGGGGCAGGGUCAGCUCAGGGGGCCCAGAUAUGGGGGGAGCCCAGCCUGGGAGCAUCUGGGGACACUUUCUGGAAGACGUGAGUACUACAGCACUAAGAGUUUGCUAGAAGGGCAGGAAUGAAGGGCCCUCUCAGUACAAAGGUGUGAAGACGGUGGUGAACUGUGCGGGGAAGGUGUGAAGACGGUGGUGAACUGUGUGGGGAAGGUGUGAAGACGGUGGUGAGCUGUGCGGGGAAGGUGUGAAGACAGUGGUGAACUGUGUGGGGAAGGUGUGAAGACGGUGGUGAACUAUGUGGGGAAGGUGUGAAGACGGUGGUGAACUAUGUGGGGAAGGUGUGAAGACGGUGAACUGUGCGGGGAAGGUGUGAAGACAGUGAGCUGUGUGGGGAAGGUGUGAAGACGGUGGUGAACUGCGUGGGGAAGGUGUGAAGACGGUGGUGAACUGCGCGGGGAAGGGGUGAAGACGGUGGUGAGCUGCGUGGGGAAGGUGUGAAGACGGUGAACUGUGUGGGGAAGGUGUGAAGACGGUGGUGAACUGUGCGGGGAAGGUGUGAAGACAGCUGCGUGGGGAAGGUGUGAAGACGGUGAGUGAACUGCGUGGGGAAGGUGUGAA
rnacentral:lncRNA from 1 species